CCGUUGUCCUCAAAGCCUAUAGCAUCCUCGUCCUCCUCGCCGUCGCCGUCCGUGCCCUUUGUUGCAGCCUCACCUCCAUGAUCUGUGUCACAUCCGAGCUAGCUUCAGUGGAGAUGUGAGCAAGGUAAAAGAGAGGAGCGCGGUGUCGAUGUAGGGGCAGUGGAAGAGGAGGAAAAAAGAGAGGAAGUAUGAGAAAAUAAAGAGAAAGAAAUAGCGAGAAGGAGGGAGACGAAUUGGUGGAGAAAGAAAGGAGAGAGAAAGAGAAAUAAGGGUAUUUUGUUCAGUUUACUAAAAAUUCGAGCCAAAUCUACAAAAUUAAAAAAAGAAGCCCAUUUUUGCAUCAAAGCAAAACUGCGCUAUUUUU
rnacentral:lncRNA from 1 species